CGCGUAGGCGGUUUGAUCAGUUAGGCGUGAAAUUCCUAGGGCUUAACCUGGGGACUGCGCUUAAUACGGUCGAGCUUGAGUUCGGAAGAGGGUAGUGGAAUUCCCAGUGUAGAGGUGAAAUUCGUAGAUAUUGGGAAGAACACCGGUGGCGAAGGCGGCUACCUGGUCCGAUACUGACGCUGAGGCGCGAAAGCGUGGGGAGCAAACAGGAUUAGAUACCCUGGUAGUCCACGCUGUAAACGAUGUGUGCUGGAUGUUGGGCGACCUAGUCGCUCAGUGUCGUAGCUAACGCGAUAAGCACACCGCCUGGGGAGUACGGCCGCAAGGUUGAA
rnacentral:rRNA from 1 species